AUUGAACGCUGGCGGCAGGCCUAACACAUGCAAGUCGAACGAGUGGCGGACGGGUGAGUAAGGUCUGGGAAACUGCCCGAUGGAGGGGGAAAACUAAGGGAAGCGGUAGAUAAGACCGAAUACAAUCGGAUGUGCCCAGAUGGGAUGAGCUUGUAGGUGAGGUAACGGCUCACCUAGGCGCCGAUCCCUACCUGGUCUGAGAGGAUGACCAGCCACACUGGAACUGAGACACGGUCCAGACUCCUACGUGAUGCAGCAGUGGGGAAUAUUGCACAAUGGGCGCAAGCCUGAUGCAGCCAUGCCGCGUGUAUGAAGAAGGCCUUCGGGUUGUAAAGUACUUUCAGCGGGGAGGCGUUACCCGCAGAAGAAGCACCGGCUAACUCCGUGCCAGCAGCCGCGGUAAUAC
rnacentral:rRNA from 1 species